GGUAACAAGGUUUCCGUAGGUGAACCUGCGGAAGGAUCAUUG
rnacentral:rRNA from 1 species